GCCUGGGUGGCUCAGUUGGUUGAGUGGUUGACUUCAGCUCAGGUCAUGAUCUCUCAGUUUGUGGGUUCAAGCCCCGCAUCGGGCU
rnacentral:tRNA from 1 species